rnacentral:rRNA from 1 species
UACGGAGGGUGCGAGCGUUAAUCGGAAUUACUGGGCGUAAAGCGUGCGUAGGUGGUUGAUUAAGUUAUCUGUGAAAUUCCUGGGCUUAACCUAGGCAGGUCAGAUGAUACUGAUUGACUCGAGUAUGGGAGAGGGUAGUGGAAUUUCCGGUGUAGCGGUGAAAUGCGUAGAGAUCGGAAGGGACACCAGUGGCGAAGGCGGCUACCUGGCCUAAUACUGACACUGAGGCACGAAAGCGUGGGGAGCAAACAGG